rnacentral:lncRNA from 1 species
CUUAACAAUGUCCCUUCUCAAGUUUCCAUCAAGAACUAAUUUGCAAGCUUUAGAAUUUGGUAGCAUCACUUAAAUUGUACCCGCGUGUGGGUUUUUCUCCACUUUUCCCCCACCCAAACAACCCAAUUAGUUAUAAUCAAGUAUACUUUCUUUUUUAUCAUGACGAUUAGGUCAUUGUGUUGCGAUAUAUAAUAUAUAUUGGUUCUAAUAGGAUAAGCUCAUCAUCUUAAUACCCUCUUGCGCGUCUUUUAUUCAUCAAUACUCGUGCAAUUUUAUAUGUUGAUUUUUUAAUUACGAAUUACGUAGAUAAUUAUAUAAUUGAUAAUAUUUUAACGAUAUAUUUGAAAUAAUAUGCUAAUUUUAUAAUUCUAUUUAUUGAUAUAUAUAUAUAUAUAUAUAUAUGGAUUCCAUUCAUAACAACCGGUUGUUGGGAGCAACUCAUUUUUGGCCAGCCGCUACAGCCUGUAGCGGCUUAUAAAAAAAAUAAAAAAAUUANNNNNNNNNNNNNNNNNNNNNNNNNNNNNNNNNNNNNNNNNNNNNNNNNNNNNNNNNNNNNNNNNNNNNNNNNNNNNNNNNNNNNNNNNNNNNNNNNNNNAUAUAUAUAUAUAUGUUAUAAUUGUACGUGGCAAAGACUCUUAAUUUUUUGGCCACAAGAUUAAUAUAUAAAUAUUCAGUUCUUAAUUACCAUCUUUCCAGAUGUUAUUAGAAUAAUGAUACGAUAAUAAUUAAUGGCAAAAAUUGUUGUUUAAGGUUGUUUAUAUAGUUGGUCAGAUUAUAAUGAUAAUGAUAAUGAUAAAUUGUUCAUGGACGACAAUGCUUUUGUAAGUCCAUUCUUUAAGUGUGCAUUAAACUUCAAUUCUUUAACUUUGUUUAUGGUAAUGGCCAAUGGGAUUCGAUAAUUAUGGAUUAUUUAAAAAUAUUUUAUGUGGACAUCGUGCUCCUCUAGGCUCUAAUUAUAUAUGCUUCCACUUGUCAAGUUGUAUAUAGAGACUCUAUUUGUGAUCAGAUUUUAGAAUUCAUGGCCCUCCUUACGUUACGUACCUUACUAAUUAAGUUUGUCAAUUCCUAAAUUUGAUUGUCCUCCACGGCAAUCAAAUUUAGAAAUUGGAUUUAAUGCAAAAAAAAUUUAAUCAAGAUCGACUUUAUUAAAUCAAAUUAAUUUUUAAUAACUGAAGUUGUUAAAAGUCCGUGUAUAGCAGAGCCAUAGGCAUGGUGUCAUACAUUUGGUAAUAUUUCUCGUCUCACCACUUAAAAUAUCUUACACACUCUUUUUCAUGAAACAUGUUUUUUUUUUUGCCAAUAUUUUAUUCUAAAAUAAAAGAACUCUAUUUUUAUUUUAUUUUAUUUUAUGAAAUAGGAGUAUAAAAUGACACAUGCAGUGUGCUCAAAUUAAUCGUUACUACAAUUUUACUACAUUGACGUCAUUCUGAAGUUUAAAAUGUACACAUAAAUAUGGAAUAAAAAUAAAUUCUUCAACUUUAUAACUUUGAUGGAUUAAUUUUUGUGGGACAGACCAAUGGAGGACUUGCAAAAGUUUCUAGAAACCAUAGUAUUAAUUAAUAUACGUACAGAGUUUUGCUAAAUUACUUGCAAAAAUAGCUACCUAAUCUUAUAUAUUGUUUGAAUUUUCUUUUAUUAAAGAAGUGGAUGACUAAUACAUUAAGGACUCGUCAAGAACUUAAUUAAUCCUUGAAUCCCACCACGGCCACUACCAGAAACUAAGUCAAUUCUUUAAUGACAUCAACUAUAUACACACAUACAUAUAUAACCGUACGUAUUCUCAAAUUUGUCAUGAUGGAAGUGCUUAUUGCUUUAUUUAUUUAUGGUCAUCUUUGAACCUAAUGGUGUGAAAAUGUCAACUUCAAUGCUUUUUGGUGCUUCCAGUAAUGGCCUUGUGACACUAAGUUGGGCUUUGAAUUCUUUUUAUGAAAGUGAGGGAGGGAGUAAAUUGAGGUAUAAGUGCAGAAAAUGAAAUGAAAUCAUUAAUUAGUUAAUGGGUUCAUAUAUGCACUCAUUUUCUUCAAAACUAUUACUCUCUCCCUCCCUAAAUAACUGACGUUUAAGAAUUCUUUGCAACAAUUAAAAAAAAUUAAACAUGACUCUUUUGUCCUUAAUAAAUAAAUUAACCAAACAAGAAAUAAUUACUCCACCACGUUAAAAUCUUAUCAGUUCUAUUUGUUGCCAUAAUUGUUGAUAGAAACAAGGAAGAAGAUGCAAGGCCAAUGGCUCAUCCAAAAUUUUUUGCCGCUAAAUUUUUGCUUCAAUUUUCUUUUUCGCUCUAAUAUAUUGUUGAUACCAGCAUAAAGAAAGAAGCUUGAAGACGUCAAUUGCUUGACUUCUGCUACUCACUUAGGAAGCUUGAAGACGUCAAUUUUUUUCCUGUAUCUGGUGAAGACUUCUGCUACUUAUUUAGGAAUCCAUGGAGAUGAACAAUUGGCUUCCUAAUCAUAGCAAGGAGGCAUUAGGAGACAGAGUUUGAAAAACAAUCAAAUUCAUCCCCAACCACAUGAACUAUACAGAAACUAAGAAACCUGUAACCAAAUUUCAAAUGACAAAGUCAUUUUUCUAGCAACCAAAUCCUCUCAAAUUGAAGUUUGUCAUUCUCUCAAAUUGAAUAGAUUGGUUCUUGGUUUGGGGCAAGUGAUAUUGCUAUAUCCUAUAUUUAUUCAGCAAGACAAUGCAAGAACUCAUAUUGCUUUGAAUGAUAAGGAAUUUUGUCAAGCUGCUGCACAAGAUGGGUUUAAUAUUUGUUUGAUGUGUCAACCUGCAAAUUCUCCAGAUUUGAAUGUUUUGGAUCUCGGAUUUUUCCAUGCCAUUCAAUCAUUACAACAGAAAGAGCCUAUUAAAAAUAUUGAUGAGCUGGUAAAUGCUGUGGUGAAGGCUUUCAACGAUUAUCUUACAUUGAAGUCUAACCGUAUAUUUUUGUCAUUACAACUGUGUAUGAUAGAAAUAAUGAAGGCCAAAGGUUCGAACAAGUACAAGAUACCACAUAUCAAAAAAGCAUUGUUGGAAAGAGAGGGCAGCCUACCGACUCAAAUAAAAUGUGAUUUUGAAUUGGUACAAGAAGUUAUGAAUUAUCCAACUCCAUUUGAUGUAGGUAUGACUUGAAUUUUUGUAUACUAAUAUCUGUAAUUGUCCUUAAAUAGGUGUUGGUUGAUUUAAUUGGUUCUCACAUUGUUCUACAGACUAACUCAAGUGCUUUUCAAUUUUAAGUUAGAGGCCUUUUGUAUGCAGUUGCCAAGAGCUUCUUAAUUUUGGUACUACAGACUAACUCAAGUGCUUAAUGUUGGUGUUUUUAUGUUGAAAAUGUUAUUAAGACUGCUUAAUUUGGUUUUAACAAUGUUGCUUAAUUUUGGUUUAUUCUGGUGGAUGCAUUCUCUUCAAUCUACUGUCUUGAUCAUUGUGUUCUUAUAUUGAAGUUAAAAUUCUGCUGGUGUAUGAAUUUUGCUGAAAACUUCUUUUAAAAAUAAUGUAUGAUUCUAACAGGAGCAGUUGGGAAUUUUAAGUUAUAAAUGUAUUUACAAUCUAUAGUAGAUUUGCUAAUGAAUAGGCAGUUGCCAACCGACCUGGUGCAUUCACUUCUUAUCAGUCCCAAACUUCACAAGAAAUACAUUAUAGAUAGUACAAUUUUUUGCUUUGGAUGUCAUUACUAAUUUCAAUAUGCGAAAUUUAGUUGUAUUUCCACUAAUUCAAUGAUUUUUCACUCGGUAUACAGGAUGCAUGUUGAGAAUGUAAUUUUAUGGCAAUCUGGCUAUACCAUAAAAAUAAUUCCAUGAAGCCUUACAUUUCAAGGUUACACACACCAGGAUUCAAAACCACAAGAAUGCAAAACACACGCCGAAGCACAAAAAAAUACAACAGCAGAUGGAUGAAAACAGUAUCUACUGUAUCUUCCUUCAUGUUCUAUUUUCAGGAAGCAACUUUAGAUGGGGGCAUGACUAAAGCAUUGCAAUGUUGACAUAAGGUUUAAGACAUGUGAACCAUCAGCCAAUUUUAAUGUGUUGUUGCUAAUGAGAAUAGAACUCUCUCUUGUAAAUCUUUUCUAUUAGAUGCUCAUUCAUGAAACUCAAUAAAAGAGCAGAGCUACAAAUAGAUUUUAAUGUAUAAAAUUAUUAUAUAAAUAUUAGACUCAUUCUGAUGGAUUCCUAUGCUUUCUAAGCUUCAUUUUCUUUGUGCUACUAUUCGAGAUAAUAAUUUUGGUAAGCUUGAAUAACAUCCUCAAGCUUCACUUGAACAUGAAGCCAUUAGCAAUAAGAUAGUCAAGACCAUUAAAGAUAUGGCUACAAAAAAUCACCAAACUCAUCCUCCAACUCAGUACCCUUCAAAUGCUAAGUUGCUUACUUGAGAUAACAGUAAUUCUUCACAUUAACCUGAAAGAAAAUUGAAAAUUCUGACAUGAAAGAGGAAUAUGACAAGGUCAAGGCUAUGCUUUCAAACAAACACAUAAUACGAUCUCCGAAUACAGGCCAUGCAAGCAUUUGAUAAUAUACUCUAUUUUUUUUCAUUCACUAAAUGAUGAUUUUCAACAAACAGAGAGUUCAUUCAAAAAUUUAACAUUACAACUGACAUGGUUAAUAAAAUUUUGAAAGAUACACUUCAUCUUCAUCUUCAAUUUGGGUUUACAAUAUACUCUGUUUUUUUAUAUUCUCUCUCUCUAAAAUUCCUGUUCUACAAAAUACUCCAUGUUGUUCUCGAAACUCUCUUCCUGCCAGGAAAGUAAAUAGAUAUUAUUAGAUUCGCUAUAUUCAUUGUAUAGUAUAAUUCCCAUAUAAUCCCAUUUACCUAACUUAGCCUAACUAUCCUACGAUAGUCCCACAAAUCAAGCAGAAUAGAAUCCUUCCCAUAUAUUAAGGAUUCUCAUGUAUCAAUUAGUUUGUAUAACGAAUCCUUCCCAUAUAUUAAGGAUUCUCAUGUAUCAAUUAGUUUGUAUAAAUAUUAACCUUAAAGAAAUAAAAUACUCAGGGAAAUAAACUCUUUUAUGGUAUCAAAGCCUCUUCUUCUCCAAAUCCCCUUCUUUAUUCUUCCCCAUGGCUACCCUUCACCCUGCCCUUGCUAUAAACAACAUCAAAAAUCAAAUUCCCGUCAUCUUAGCCAUGGAUAAUGAUGAAUACGAUACCUGGGUGGAGUUGUUCCGUCUCCAUUGCACUGCCACCCUGGUCCUCGACCACAUCCUGCCCCCCGCCCGAUCCACCGACCAAUCCCCCUACGGACCCCGCUAUCUAGGCUCGUCUGGAUGCCGUCGUCCUCCAGUGGAUUUACGGAACUAUCUCCAAUGAUCUGCUCCACACCAUCAUUGCCCCAAAAUCCACCGCUCGACAGGCGUGGAUAAGUCUGGAAAAUAUAUUCCAGGAUAACAAGGCCACCCGUGCUGUAAGUUUGGAGCAGGAAUUCAACACUAUCCACCUCAAAGACUAUCCGUGUAUCACUGCAUAUUGUCAGGCCCUGAAAAAGCUCUCUGACCGUCUCACGAAUGUCGGCGCUCCGGUCACAAAUCAACGACUGGUCCUCCGGCUCAUCGUCGGCCUCAACUCCAACUACGAUGGCAUUGCUACUUUCCUUUCUCAAAGCUCGCCCCUACCAACAUUCUCCGAGGCCCGUUCACGAUUAAUCCUUGAAGAAACACGAAAAGCUAAUCAGGCUGCCAUGGAGGCAACCACCGCAGACACUGCCUUAUAUCAUCAGUCCCCGCCAGACCCGAAACUGGACAAUUCGUUCACCCACAAACGUCCAAAUUUCCGCGGAUCUGGCCACGGUAAGGGCCGUAACAAUCGCCGCCAGGGUCGUGGGGGUGGCCACGAUGCAUCCUCUGGUGGCUCCUCUGCUUCUGCCAUUUAUCCCUAGGCUCCAUAUCAGCCGUGGAGAUGGGGGUGGGCCCCACCUUGCCCCUACCCCACCUCUGUCAAUCCGCGCUCUCCACCGAGCCGCUACCAUGGCAUACUCGGCCGAGCACCGCAACCCCAGGCCCAUGUUGCCUCAGCUGCUGCUCCCGACGGUCCUUCCCCGACAGACAUCGAGGCUGCGAUGCACACUUUGGGUUUAACUCCUCAGGACCCGAAUUGAUACAUGGACACCGGUGCAACUUCUCACAUGACUCCGUCUCAAGGUAAUCUCUCAUCUUAUUUUAAUUUGAGCACUAAAAGAAAUAUAAUAGUCGGUAGUUGCCAAGGAAUACCAAUUCGGGGCUACGGACAGGUCACAUUACCUCCCAUUUACCCUCGCCUUAAACUACAUAAUGUUUUACAUGCCCCCAAGCUCAUUAAAAAUCUGAUUUUCGUUCGCCGUUUCACUACCGAUAAUAACGUAACAAUUGAAUUUGACCCUUUCAGUUUUUGUGUGAAGGAUAUCCGGACGAGACAACCAAUCUUGAGAUGUAACAGCACUGACGACCUAUACCCUCUACUACCCUCCCCUACCACCCAACGCAACCCGACAGCCCUAACCACCACAGCUCCGUUUUUAUGGCACGAAUGUCUGGGACACCCGGGGCCAGCUAUUCUUCGUUCAUUGCGUCAAAAUAAAUUAAUUUCUUGCACCUCUAGAAAUAGUUUAUCUAAGUGUCAGUCUUGUAUUUUCGGGAAACAUAUUAAGUUGCCAUUUAUUGAUUCUUCUAGUCAAACAUUGUCUGCUUUUGAUAUUAUUCACAGCGACUUAUGGACCUCACCAGUUUUGAGUACUGCAGGACACAAAUACUACUUAGUAUUACUUGACGAUUAUACAAAUUUCUUGUGGACCUUUCCAAUUGGCCAAAAAUCCCAGGUUUAUCCCAUAUUCUUAACUUUCGCAAAAUAUAUAAACACACACUUCAAUAAACAAAUAAAAAAUUUCCAAUGCGACAAUGGCCGAGAAUAUGAUAACUCAAAUUUUGCCCAGUUUUGUAAAAACCACGGAAUGAGUUUCCGUCUCUCCUGCCCCCACACAUCAUCUCAAAAUGGUAAAACCGAACGUAAAAUCCGCUCCAUUAAUAAUAUCAUCCGCAGAUUACUCCACUGCGCAUCCAUGCCCUUUUAUUUUUUGGCAUUAUGCGCUCCACAUGGCAACCUACAUAUUUAAUAUACUUCCCAGCAAGCUUCUUGCUUACUCCUCCCCAACCCAACUCUUAUAUCAACCCACACUUUCCUACACACACCUCCGUAUUUUCGGCUGUUUAUGCUAUCCCCUAUUCCCACCCCCCACCAUACAUAAACUCCAAAAACACUCCACCCCGUGUGUGUUCUUAGGAUAUCCCCCCAAACAUCGUGGAUACAUGUGCUACGACCUCUCUAGUGGCAAAAUUAUCAUAUCCCGCCACGUGAUUUUUGAUGAGUCCAAUUACCCCUUUGAGGCUGCCCCGUCCGCUGCCCCCACUCCACUCGCCAGAGUCGAUGAUGACCCUUCCCCUCUAUUACAUGAGCUCAUUGACCCCACCUCGGGUGCCCCAUGUACGACACCACCUGUCUCCCCCACUCGGACAGAUCCACCGCGGCAUGACUCCCCACCCCCUGUACCAUCAAAUACCACCACAACCUCCCCUAUCACAACCCCAUUCCCUCCCUGGACAAUGACCACUCGCGGUAUGCGCGGCAUUUUCAAACCAAAAUAUCCCCUUAACUUAUCUAUUAUCUCCAGCCCUUCCCCCAUACCUCGUAACCCAAUCAGUGCCUUGUCCGACCCGAAUUGGAAAUAGGCCAUGCUCGACGAGUACAAUGCUCAUAUUAUUAAUAAGACUUGGGUAUUAGUUCCGAGACCACCUAAUGUGAAUAUAACUCGGUUCAUGUGGGUUUUUCGGCACAAAAAGAAAUCUGACGGUUCUUUUGAACGGCAUAAAGCCCGUCUUGUUUGUGAUGGCAGGUCCCAGCAGGUUGGCAUCGAUUGUGAUGAGACGUUCAGCCCAGUUGUCAAACCGGCCGCCAUUCGUGUAGUUCUCAGUCUUGCUCUGUCUCGAUCAUGGACUAUUCACCAACUUGACGUCAAGAACGCUUUCUUACAUGGCCAUUUGCAGGAAACAGUCUAUAUGCAUCAAACUCCUGGUUUCCGUGAUCGUCACCAUCCCGACUAUGUCUGCCUAUUGAAGAAAUCCCUUUAUGGCCUCAAACAGGCUCCACGAGCUUGGUAUCAGCGAUUUGCUGAUUUUGUUUCGACUAUUGGCUUCACUCACAAUCGGGUGAUCAUUCCCUAUUUAUUUAUCAUAAUAAUAAUGACACCGCCUAUCUGCUCCUCUAUGUUGAUGACAUCUUGCUUAUUACCUCAUCUGACAAGCUCCGCCAGUCAAUCAUGUCUCGUCUUGCCUCCGAAUUUGCCAUGAAAGACUUGGGUUCCUUGAGCUAUUUUCUAGGUAUCGCAGUAACUCGACAUAAGGAGGGCCUUUUCCUGAAUCAACGCCAAUACGCCAAGGAAUUAAUUGAGCGCGCAGGUAUGACCGACUGUAAGCCAUGUGCCACUCCCAUUGACACCAAACCAAAACUUAGCUCGGUCUCUGGAUCACUUUAUAGCAAUCCCACAUUGUAUCGUAGCCUUGCAGGUGCCUUGCAAUAUUUUACAUUCACCAGGCCAGACAUCUCCCAUGCCGUUCAACAGGUAUGCCUACACAUACACGCACUAAGCAAUGACCAUAUGGCUAUUCUUAAACGUAUCAUCCGCUACGUCAAAGGAACAAUAACUUUCGGCCUUCACCUUUACGCCACCCCUGCUACUGAUCUUGUAUCUUACACCGAUGCCAAUUGGGGCGGCUGCCCAGACACCAGAAGAUCAACAUCCGGGUAUUGUGUUUUCUUGGGCGAUAACUUGGUCUCUUGGUCCUCUAAACGCCAACCAACCAUGUCCCGCUCCAGUGCUGAAGCUGAAUAUCGGGGCGUUGCCAACGUCGUCUCUGAAUCCUGUUGGCUCCGAAAUCUACUACUUGAGCUCCAUUGCCCCCCACGAAAAGCUACAAUUGUUUAUUGUGACAAUGUGAGCGCCAUUUACCUAUCCGGCAACCCUGUCCAGCACCAAAGAACUAAGCAUAUUGAAUGGAUAUCCAUUUUGUCCGUGAACAGGUUGCUCGGGGUCAAGUUCGUGUUCACCACGUACCGUCCCGUCAUCAAAUUGCUGACAUCUUCACUAAAGGUCUUCCGCGCGUGCUUUUCAAUGAUUUUCGGGACAGUCUCAGCGUUCGUGAACCUCCCGCUUCGACUGAGGGGGUGUAUUAGAUUCGCUAUAUUCAUUGUAUAGUAUAAUUCCCAUAUAAUCCCAUUACCUAACUUAGCCUAACUAUCCUAUGAUAGUCCCACAAAUCAAGCAGAAUAGAAUCCUUCCCAUAUAUUAAGGAUUCUCAUGUAUCAAUUAGUUUGUAUAACGAAUCCUUCCCAUAUAUUAAGGAUUCUCAUGUAUCAAUUAGUUUAUAUAAAUAUUGACCUUAAAGAAAUAAAAUACUCAGGGAAAUAAACUCUUUUAGAUAUGAUUAAUAAAAAUUAGGGAGAUAGAUCUUCAACAUAUCCAUGAUAACAUCUUGAAAUUUUUCUUCACAAACUUCUUCGGCUACAUUUGGAAACUUGUUCAAAUCGAAUCCGAGAUCCGCAGGUUGAUUCAAAUCAAAGUUUCUUGGAACUUUGAUAUUUUCAGAAUCAAAAUUCACGAAAUCUCCAUUUUCUUGCAUUUUCAAUCUAUGGAGUACUGUGUUUUAAGAGAAGAAUUGCAGGUAUGGUUUCUUAGUUCCAUACAGGUCAAGCAAUCAAUCCACUCUUGGAAACCAACGAGAAUGUCAAGAGCUUUUUUUCUUUUUUGAACCAGAACCAGAAGACGCUAGUACUAAGAAGAAAGGGUAGUAUUGGAAUAAAAGUGGACAAUUUAGCUUUAAACUUUUAAAACAUCUAUUAUUUUAAGAAAAAUAAAAACUCCUUAAACGUCAGAUAUAAUAGGAUGGAGGGAGUACUACUUUUUUCAUUGACCGAGUGCUGAUAUUCAUCAUCCAUCAAAAUAUAUAGUCCUUUGAAUUCUAGUCUCCAAUACUCUGGGAAAAAAAAUAUCAGCUGAAGAAAAAAAAUACAAAGUGCAUGCAUGACUCACAUGUUACAACUUAUUUUAAAUUUGAUCAUAAAAUGGAAAGUUUUUAUUUAUUUUUGCCGUGAUGUUUAUGAAUGGUUCCAAAUAUUACAAAGAUUUUUAUCUUUGAACUGUUGGAGAUGGGGUUACUUCGAUGGUUCGUUCAAAUAUUUUUAUUUCACAAAUUACUACUAUUUCAGAUACGUCAUGGUGUAGGAUUUUUUGGAUACGCACACGCACAUAAAAUAAAUACAAAACUUCCUAUUCCCCAUCUUCGUCGGUAUAACAAUACAUUCUACCAGGUACAUAUCAGCAAUAUGUCAUCUGCAGUAUAAUAAUAUAUUCACAGUAUAAUUAACUUACCCUUAACCUGACCCUGACAUAUUGCCAAGUGUUUGAGAUUAAUUACUUAGCUAUAACCUUGUUCGACGAUAACUUAAAUGAUACAGACGGAGGAGUUAACUUACCUCCUCCUUAAUUCUUGUUCUUAAUCUUAUCCUUGGACCCUUCACGAGGUUUUUGUGUUGUUCCUUCCCCUAUCUCUUAGGACUUAGGAGUCAUUAUUAGGGUUGGCUUCCUUUAGCCUACUUUAUCUAGAUGCAUGAGAAAGCUCCAUCUAAUAACAGACUCAAUAUUGACGUCUUGCUUCCAAAGCAUAGUGCUUACAAUUAUCACCGGACAUGUGUAUGUUGUGUUGCAGGCCGGUUAGUGAGUCUAGUCCUCACCUUUACCUUCAUUGUCCUGUAAAAUGGGAGAUUAAUUUGGCAUAACAAUCAUCCGCCGAAUCACAAGUCCCCCCUCGUACGUAUUUUUCUUCAUUUCCUCCACCAGAUGCCUUUAACAAAGACCACCCUCCUGCACACACAUGUACAUACAUAUAUAUAUAUAUAUAUAUAUAUAUAUAUAUAUAUAUAUAUAUAUAUAUAUCAUAAUAUGAAUAAUUAAAGAGAGAGAGAGAGAGAGUAAUUAAUUACCAGGUACAAGAAGAAUCAUGAGGAUGAUCAAGUAAGCGAACUUGUUGUAUGAAGCCUUCAAGGCCAUAUUUUUGUAUAUAUGCUACAUACCAAAAAAUAAUGAAGUUCAUAUAUAUGGAGUAUAUCGCUUGAUGCACGAAUGAAUAUGUAUAAGGAGAGCCAAAACGUCGUCCUCUAUAAUUAAAUGAUGAAAAUAAUUAAGCUGAAUUUCCUAACCCUAUUAUAUAUAUAUAUUCACUUAUACGUGAAAUAAAAAUCAUUAAAGAUACUCUCCACUCUGCAAAAAGAUAUUCAAUUAUUUUUUUUCUAUUUAAUUUACAAAAAGAUAUAUAUUUGUGUAUCAAGCAAUAUAUAUGAACUUCAUUAUUUAAUUUGAGAAUAUUCAUUCUGCAAAAUACGUUGCCCUUGGUCAUGAUGUAUACACCGGUCAAAAUUUGGUCAAACUUAAAUUGUUUUUUUUUUAAUUUUUCUUAUCCUAGCUGAUGUUAUAAAAAAAGUUGUUUAGGACUAUAAAUAAGUACGCUUAUUAGGGGUGCUUGUGAACAAAUACGUUUUGUUUAAUUGAGAAUAUUAUUUUUCGUUCUCUUUAUGAGUUCUUUAUCUUUUUUUGCGGAUUCAAGCUAGGAUUUUUAUUCUGUUCUUGUUGGUACGAUAACCUUCAAAUCACUUUUGUGUUAGAGCGUUACAAUUUAACCAUUAUUAAUUCUGCUACGUAUGAAAGAUAAAUUAAAUAAUUUAAAUUUUAUUGUAGGGAUAAUAUGAUAAACUAAGUCAAUAUAUUAAUGCUUUCUUAAAAUAUAAAAACGAUAAAUAAAAAGGAACGAAUUAAAUUUUACUCUAUAGAAAAACAAAUACAAAAAGAACGGAGAGAAACUAAUUAAUAUAGACGUAUUUCGUGGGAAACUGACAUGUUAGAAAAUUAAUUAAGAAAGCUAAAACUCAAUAUUUAAGGUAAGCUAUAAAUUUAUGUUAUAUUUAUUUUUAAAUUAAUUUAAAUAAACGUAUUUAAUCGUGUUAAACGUGUCAAUCAGCUAAUUAUGCAUGUGAUUGACACAUUUAAAUUUUGUGGUAAACGUGUUGAUAUGUUUAUGACAUAAAAAUUGUUUACACUUAAUACUAACCCUCUCUAAUUGUAUGUUGUGUUAGUGUCGAGUUACCGUGUCAUGUUAGAAAUUGUCACUCCUCAUAUAAUUAAAUAUGAUAUGCAUGGUGAAUAGUAUGAUUUAAAACAGCAGUUCAUCAUAGAAACACAAGGACAUCAUACAUUAGAAUUUAUGGAAUUGGUAGUAUCAACAUAAAAAAGUGUUCUAUUUUUUGAAAGAGUACUGUAGAAGACUGAAAUAUAUCAAAUAUAUUAUGUUUUAAUGAAAAAAAUUACAAGUGAUUCUUGUUGAAUGAAAAAGAGGCCGGUGUCAUUGAUUCUUGUUGAAUGGGGGAUAAGACCAUAUGAGGAUUGAAAACAAUGUUUGGAACCUAAAAAAAACUGUCUUAUGAACAUAUCCACACUUUAUAAAGAAUUAAUCAAGCGUAAUUAAUUGACCAAUUGUUAAGUAAAGUGGGCAAAUUAAUUAAUCCUUACAUAAAUAAAAGCUAUAUAUAUAUAUAUAUAUAUAUAUAUAUAUAUAUAUAUAUAUAUAUAUAUAGAAUAUUGGACAAGACGGGGCAAAAAUUUGCAUAAACAAUAUAAAAAAAAUAGAGAAUUAAUAUUUUUAUUUUACAGUGAGAUCUAGUGAGGAGGAAUUUACGCAAUUAAUAUUUUUAUUUGUAAAAAUAUCAAUUAUCAAAGUCAAUAGAUUGUAAUAACUCGCGUUUGUUAUAAAACUUAACAUCAUCAUAAUCCAUAACCAUAGCCAUAGAGAGACUCACGCACAUAAAAAACGAAGAAGAAAAAGGAGAGGUAGAAAUUAUAACAGCUGGAUUUUAUAUAUUGGUAAAUUGAUUGAUAAUUAAUAGUGAUGACAUGGAUCAGAAACACGCGCAGGCGUUUCGUAUACACAUUGGAGCCAAGGUUCUACCACAGCACUGACGGCAGUCAUUGAGAUCUUGACAUACUAUGUUGCAGUUGCGAAGAAUACCCUCGCACCCAUUCCAAGGUUUGUCGUCAGAGCUGGACGUCAAUUCCGGCGCCGAAUAAUUAUGGCGAUGGUCAACACAUGUCCAGUUGCCUUUCAUAUAUUUGGGAGUCCCUACUUUACAUGAAACUUUGCAUUCGCCGGAAGUUAUACUCUGUGGCCUCAUCCCACUAUUUGCGACUGAUAAACCUGCCCAUGCAAUGACAUACAUACAUGCAAACAUAUAAUUAGUGACAUUCAAAUAAUCUGUCGCUAUUGUAAAUUGUUCACAAAUACUAAUACUAAUAUUUUUAUAUAUAUAUUUAUGUUCGUUAAGAGAGACUAACCAGCAACAAGAAGCAAUAGGGCUGACACGAAAAGCAGCUUAAACGAGUACUUCCCCAUAUGUAUAUCUAUUGCCUAUUGGUGAUGUGAUUUAUAAGCAACUAUGCUAUCAGUUUUACUUAAUUUGCAAUGUUAUACUACUAUAUUAAGAAUGAGUAUGCUCUACCAAGAGGGGAAGAAACAUGAAUAUAUAUAGAGUAAAGGGCAUUAAUUAUUUAGAUUACAAAAACUAUCCAGAUUAUUAUCAAUUAAUGUCAGAUUACAAUAUUUUAUUUGGCAAUUAAUAUUGUCAGAUUAUAAAUAAUAUUGGCUGACCAUAUAAUAAAUAUUGGUUAACGUGUUCUCUAUAACAUUAAUAAAGGUUUUGCUAAAUACACAUUUGUUCAGUUAGCAUCAUUUUGUGCUAUAUAUGACAAUAUCACAAUCUCUUAUUUAAUCUUUAAAAAAAUAUUUUAUUUAUUAUUUUAAUAAAUUAUGGAAGUUUUCAUCUCCAAUAAUGUGAUAUCAGUAGAAAAUUGAUAUUUUCACAAGUAAAAAUAAUAGUUUCACAAAUUUUCUCUCACAUAAAUAAUUAAUGGGUUUCAUUGUGGAAAUAUCAGUUUUUACUUGUAAAAAUAACAAUUCCCUAUCAUUAAUUACUUGACUAUGUAUUGGUUAUGUCUUAAAUAUCAUUUGUCUUAUUUAAUGUUUUGCAGACAUAUUUGAAAAUAAAAAGCGAAUUAUUACUCUCAAGAAAAUUUUGAUAUUUUCAUAAGGUUUCUCUUAUACGAGCGUCGGUCACAUUUAUUAUUCAUGUGAAUGGAACCUACCUUAUAGAAAUAUCAAUUUUUCAUGUACAAAUAUUAAUUCCCAAAAAAAACACUUGAUACGGCCCCCUGCAUUAGUUUAUUUAUUUUAGGAUAGUCUAGUAAUUUUAUUGCGUAUGUUGUUAAAAAAAUAAUAAUAAAUAACUCUCUUAAGAUGGUUUUUCUAUAAAAAAAAAUCAAUAUAUAUUUAUUAGCUAAAUUGACCAUAAUUUGUCUCAUGUCAAUCUUUUUGGUAAUUUUGAACCUUUUUAAAUAUAAUUAUUAUCAAAUUCUCCCUUAGUGUUCUAUUCUUCAUUAUCCAAAUAAUCAUGAAAUGAUCUGGCAUUAGGAUGGGUAUAUAUGAUAUUAAUUACUGCAUUCGUUUAAGUUUAGAGACAGAAAAUAGAAGAUUAAGUUUAAACUUUUUAUAGUUAAAUUGAGAUCUUUUAAAUUAAAAAUUAAUGUAAUUCAUUUAAUUUUUGAAAAUAAUAUAAUUUGUAAUUAAUAGAACAAUUUAAAUAGUUUUCAUGAUUGUAUUAUCUAAUUUUAAAUGAAUUUAUAUCAAUUUAAAAUUUAAAAUAAUUUUAAAAAAUCGCUAUUAAUUCUACGAGGAAAAGAAAAUGAUCAAGGAAUAUUAUUGCAAUCAAGGAAUUCAAAUUUUUUUAAUUUAAAUUCUCUAAUACAUGUUAUUGAGCUCCCUCUCAUAUCAACAGUAAAUGAAUUCCAUAAUAAAUUUAUUGCAACAACACUACUCGGUCCUAAUACACAUCAGCUUACAUUCCGACAUUGCAACAUUACGGAGUAAUUUAUAAUUAGAUUAUGGAAAUUAAGUGAACGUAAAAAACGUUGUUUUCCAUCAUUUUAUUUAUUUUUUUAUUUUUCUAACCACUUAAAACUUCAAGACAAUUAGACCUGACCCAAACCCACGGGUCGCAUAACUCAUCCUCUAAAUUCAAGAGUUUGGACUUAAAUUAAUGUCACCGGGUCUUUUUGACUCCGUCCAUUUAAACCCAACCUGUGGGUGAUCCGAUCCAUUAGUUAAUAUUUAAUAUUAUUUUUACUUAAAAUUUCUCCCAUUAAUAUGCACUAAUAAGUUAACUCUCCAACUAUUUCAUCUUCUCUUUAUAAUUAACCAUCACUCCUUCCUAAUUCUUUUGUCGUUUUGCAACUAUCGGUACUAUUCAUUCUCCAUACAUAAAAAGGUUGACCUUAAGGGCACAUUUUAAGCACUGAAUUCAAAAUAUAAGACCCACUGAAAAAUAAUUUUAAAUAUGUAAAAUAAUAUUUCAAUAAGACCGUAUACAUUUAAAAUUAUAUUUCAAUGAACUUCAUCCCUUAAAUUUCGUGUUUAACACGUGUUAAGAAAAUCCCUUUUUCAUCGUUUUAUAACAAAUUGAGUUUUAUUGUAUAGAAAACUUGGAAGUAAUUUAUGUUUUAUUAUUCAAAAGAAGUUGAAAUAAUUUCCGUUGUAAAAAAUAAUAGGUUCUUUACAAUAAUAUACAAUAAUCACUAAAUAAUUACACUAUUAGUGGAUCUAUAAAAUAAUUAUAAAAAUAGUACAAUUCACAUUAAUAAAGAAACCUAAAAUCAAAAAGAAAUAAUUGUCAUAAUUAAUAAUUCAAAUUCAAAUAUUUGAGAUCUAACAACAAAAACAAAUUCAAAAUAAUAAUUCACCCAAACUAAUAUGAGCAUAGAUCAGAUAGCCCGUCAGUAAGUCCAAUAACCCAAACAAAACAAAUUACUUGUACAUCCGAAACCAUAAAAAUAAAAUUCGAUGUAUUACAAACUUUUCCUUUCUUAACGAAGAGAGAUCAUAACAUUCACCGCCAUUGUAAUCUGGUGCGAACCACAUCAAGUAGAAACCUUCAUCUUCGAAUAUUACAGUGGACUCGCAGAGAAAAUAUUAGUCAAGCUUCAGCAACUGGAUAGAGAAGCAUGGCUAUUUGAUUUUUCACAAUUUUUUCAUGUCCGAAAAUUCCAAUUCCAAUUUCGUGGUCAAAAGAAAAUAAGAACACUGUAUAUGAAAAAGAGAGAUAAGAGAGUGAUGUGUAAUGUAAUGUUAAUAACCAAACAUUCGUACCAAGGUAACCAAACUAUUAUACCAAGGUAACCAAUCUACCUCCACACAUGCAGUAUGAAUUGGUUACCUUGGUUUGAAAGUUUGGCAACCAACGGUAUGAAGGUUUGGCUACCAACUGCAAUAACAUUCAAAAUAAAUUGGUAAUUUAAUAAAACUGAAUUGGUUAUCUUGGUAUGAAGGUUUGGCUACCAACUGCACUAUAAAAAAACUACAGGUGUGGAUGUGGAUUGGUUACCUUGGUACGAAGAUUUUGUUACCUUGGUAUGAGGAUUGGUUAUCUUGGUAUAAAGGUUUGAUUACCAACAGCACUAUGAAAAAACUGCACCUGGAUGGAGUAAUUAAUAAAUGUCAUACACAUUUUUUUUAGUAAGUGGGCAUGCACCUAGCUUAAACCCAUAUAUAUAAAAACAGUAAAACCCCUAUUUAAGAAUAUUCUAUAUAAGAAUAACCUCUACAAUAUUAUAAAAAAAAAUGGUCCCAAUUUGGGCCAGUUAUAAAUAUGAAUAACUUCUAAAUUGUAAUAUGUUAUAUACUCCCUCCUAUUCAUAUUAAAUGUCUUUUUAGAGUUAAACACACUUUUUAAGAAAUAACACAAAAUAUCUUUUGUAUCCCUAAUUAAUUAUUUCUCUCUCCACAAUGGUCCAUGGAAUUGUAUUUACUAAACAUAUUAAAUAGAGGGGUAAAUUAAAAAAAAAUAGUGUAAUAUUACAUAGGGAUUCCAAAACAACACUUAUAUAGAAUAAAAUGAAACUCUAUAAAAAGAUAUUUAAUAUGAAUAGGAGGGAGUACUUUUUAAGUCUCGUAUUAAAAAAUUAUACCUCUAUAUAGUAAUAAUUUCAUAUAUAUAUAUAUAUAUAUAUAUAUAUAUAUAUAUAUAUAUAUAUAUAUAUAUAUAUAUAUACACAUAUAUAUAUAGAGAGAGAGACAAUAUUAAUUUUAAAAGACUAUAUUUUCUAUAAAAGACUACAUUUUCUAUAAAUAACUACAUUUUCCUAUAAAAUAUUAUAUUUUCCUAUAAAAGACUAUAUUUGCUAUAAAAGACCAUAUUUUCCUAUAAACAUUUUCUAUAAAAGACUACAUUUUCCUAGUUUGAAAAUCUAAAUAAUUUAUGUGAGUUCUUAUUGACAUUUUGUUAAUGUGAAUAUUUUUGGGUGUUCGAAAAAUAUUUUGUACCAAUACCGCUAUUUAGUAAUAACCUCUCAAUUAGAAUACAAAUAAUUUGGUCAUAAAUUUAUUCUUAAAUAGAGGUUUUACUAUAUAUAUAUAUUUAGAGAGAGAGAGUCAGGAUUAAGUGCAUACCACUUAUCUUACUCACUCGUGCUCACCCCCCUUUAGGCGACGAUUUCGGUUAUACAACCGUUGUCUAUACUUUUAACGACGGACAACAUAUAGCGUUGCUAAAAGUAUAAACGACGGUUGUAUGACAGAAACCGUCGCCUAAAGGGGGGUGAGCACGGGUGAGUAAGAUAAGAGGUAUACACUUGAUCCGGACCGUAUAUUAUAUAUAUAUAUAUAAAACAAAAUAUAAUUGAUUUUAAAUUUUCUGCUCACCUUAAUAAAUCAUCUGGGCCAACCAAAGUUUGAGAUAAAUCCUACUGUCCAUGUAGUGCCGGAGGCACGGGACGAAUCUAGAGUGAUUCUUUUAAAUAACACUCCCGCUUAAAUAUCAUUUCCUUAUUAAAACUAAUAUAUAUAUUAGAACGGAUGUAGAACACUCCUCUUAAAUAUCACUACCUCUUAAAUAUCACUCAUUAAUUUAUUAAAAUUACGUCGUUUUGGAGAUUCUUUUAAAAUACUCCAUACAAAAUAAUAAGUAUUAAAAUAUAGUGAUCCCACUUGUUUUUUUUUAUUUACAAAAAUAACACUCGCGACUCCACAUGUUUUUUUUUAAAAAUUUCAAAACAAUGUAGUUUUAAUAAAAUAGUGUUAUUUAAGAGAGAGUGAUAUUUAAAAGAAAUGCUUUUGAUCCGUUAUAUAUAUAUAUAUAUAUAUAUAUAUAUNNNNNNNNNNNNNNNNNNNNNNNNNNNNNNNNNNNNNNNNNNNNNNNNNNNNNNNNNNNNNNNNNNNNNNNNNNNNNNNNNNNNNNNNNNNNNNNNNNNNNNNNNNNNNNNNNNNNNNNNNNNNNNNNNNNNNNNNNNAUCGCCGCCGGAACCAAAACCGGACUGCAAAGAACCAGCACAGGGGUGGCUAGGGUCAGUGCGAUCACCGUUCCGACGAGGGUCAAGCCUGAGAGGACAAGAAAGGACCCAUCGGAACGGUGUUGUGCCGCGAUCAAAAAACAAUCAGUUGGGAGUUGUUGAUCUUGAUUACGAGGAUUCUGAUGAGAGAUGGACAAAUGGGAGUCAUUUUCUGUGUUGGACAUUGCUUUACUUUCAGUUAGAGAUACUGUGUGUUGAUGAAAGAAUCAAUGGAUGAGAGAGAGAAAAGGAUGAGGAAAACAGUGAGUUAGAUCUGUAAACAUUUUUGCCUUGUUUUGAUUUGGGGAGAUAGAAAAAAAGAGAAUAAAUUCACUAAUUAUGUAAAUAAAAAUUUUAAAUGCAUUAAUUAUGUAAAUAUUUUAUGAGUCCACUAUUGUUGUAAUUAUUAUAAUUAUUUUAAAAAAUAUACUAAAAAAAUAUAAUUAUCCCAUAAAAAAUAGGUGUUUUUAACCCAGCCCAAAAAACUCAUCCGAAAGUAUUACAACCAGCAUUAAAAUGAAAGUCAAGCUUAGAUAAUGAUAUUUUGGAUCCGAUUAUCAUAAAUUUAUUUAAUAAAAUAUUGACACGCAUUAAACUUCGUCUGCAUGUAAUUAAUCAAUUGAUUAAUUUACUCAAAAAUAAACUUUAUGCUAACAAUUUAUUUUUUAAUAAAUUGAUGAAUUAACAAAUAAAAUAUUGACACGCAUUAAACUUCGUCUAUAUGUACUUAAAAAUAAAUUUAUGCCGAUAUUUUUUGUUGGUAGGGUACUUUCUUUGUCAGUGGUAUUUUAUGUACCCUUUUUUUUUGGGUGAACAAUUGGAUAGAUUGUUUUGGCUUAUUUGAUUACUUUUAAUAAAUACCAUCAGAUCUUAGAAUGAAUACAAUACAUGGAACAAGUUAUUCAAAAAUAAAAAAUAAAUCUUGAUUUAUUUUUCUAGGUCUUGCCAAUUGACAUGGAUUAAUCAAAGGACAAUUUACAACAAGAAGAAAAAUGAUUUAGUGUAGCACCAUGCUCGUAAAGUCUGAAGGGUAAGUAUCCAACAGACCAUGUAUUUUGGUGCUUCAAAAUCCACACAAAAAAUUAAUAAAAAUUAUCAUAUUUAUUUAUAGGGGCUUCUUUUCAUUGCGGGUGAUUGAAGAAUUAGCAAAGCAAUCAGAGAACUUUGAAGACCAUAAUGGUACGAUAUGAACUCAACAUGGAGGUUCAGACAGAAAAAGCUCAUCAUUUUACUUUGCUAUUUUGUUUAGAUCUGGAUCUGAUUUCAAUUUCAAUUGGUUAAAAAGUAGAAGAGAUCAUUGUAGGUGUUUUGGCAAAUAAACAGAUGAUAUUAAACAAAAGAAAAGAAUACUGAGUUCAAUCGAAUCUUGUUUAUGCCAAAUAUAAAUUUUAAUUUAGCACCUUAAAAUACCAGAUCUCGAAUUUUCCUUUCAACUAUGCUUCAAGUUGAAAGGGGCUAUAUGGUGCAGCAGCAGCAGCAGGAUAGAGGAGGAGAGAGAAAAUAUAUACAUACAUACUAGGGAUUGAAGACUUUGGAGUUACCUACUAAGUACUUUUUUUAUAGAUAAA